rnacentral:rRNA from 1 species
AUUGAACGCUGGCGGCAGGCUUAACACAUGCAAGUCGAACGGUAACAUGGGUGCUUGCACCUGGCGACGAGUGGCGGACGAGUGAGUAAUGUAUGGGGAUCUGCCGAAUGGAAUGGGACAACAGUUGGAAACGACUGCUAAUACCGUAUAAUGUCGCGAGACCAAAGUGUGGGACUUUCGGGCCACAUGCCAUUUGAUGAGCCCAUAUGGGA